UAAGUGGUUGGAGUUUGUGUGAGCAGU
rnacentral:piRNA from 1 species